rnacentral:rRNA from 1 species
AUUGACCACUGGCGGAAGGCAUAACACAUGCAAGUCGAACGAAUGGCGGACGGGUGAGUAAUGUCUGGGAAACUGCCUGAUGGAGGUGGAUAACUACUGGAAAAGGUAGCUACUACCGCAUAACAACGGAUGUGACCAGAUGGGAUUAGCUAGUAGGUGGGGUAAAGGCUCACCUAGGCGACGAUCCCUAGCUGGUCUGAGAGGAUGACCAGCCAAACGGGAACUGAGACACGGUCAAGACUCCUACGGGAGGCAGCAGUGGUGAAUAUGGCACAAUGGGCGCAAGCCUGAUGCAGCCAUGCCGCGUGUAUGAAGAAGGCCUGCGGGUUGUAAAGUACUUUCAGCGGGGAGGCGUUACCCGCAGAAGAAGCACCGGCUAACUCCGUGCCAGCAGCCGCGGUAAUUC